AAAGACCUUUCCUAACCUUUCUUGCAGUUAGAUGUGGCCAAGACUAAGUUCUGCUCCAAACACCACCCAAAAGUGUUGGGUAGUACUUGUAGUUGGGAAAAGCCCUUUUGUUCUUUCUCCCCUCCCUUUUCCUGAUCUUUUCAAUGUUAUUUUAAUGAUGACAGCUCCAGUAGCCACCAUGGACAGUGACACUGAGACUAGAAACCAGAGGGUGACAUCAAUAAGAUGACUGACUAGAGAUACCCAGCACGCAUCCCCCCAUAAGAAAGAACCUAGGCAUCAAAUAAACAGCUAAGAUUCAGUUUGAGUGUCAAUGGGAGAGUACUGGGGUGCAGCGAGCAACUGGAGAUGCAGGUGUGGAGACUGGAAGUCUAUGAGGGCAGCAUGGAAAUACCUGGCCACUGCAGCCCUGUCUCCCCAACCCAGAUUGGAUCUGCCCAGAGCCAGGAGGGACUUCCCAUUUCAGGGAAAAGCAAAAUUAUUCUGAAGGAAGCUGUGUGAAGAACUGUGUAAAGAAGCUGUGUGAAGAAUUUAAUUUCCUAAAAGGAAAUAAAUGACAUAAUUUGGGGACAAUAAUGAGGUUUGAACUAAGUCAGUGGCAAUGGUUGUUUUGUUUUUUUCUUAAUUGUGGGUGUUGGGACCAGGCCAGAUUGAAAGAUGGAUGUUAGUAGAAGCAGACAGAGGACCAGAUGUAGUAAUUGACUGGCAAUUAAAGAUAUGGAGAGGAACAGAGUAAGGACACCACAUGACUCUUGGCUUGAACACUAAAAGAACCCUCAUUAA